GAGAUUAAAGUGUUUAUUUUCGGCAACACACUAUUGCCGUGGCACCUGGGAGCGUCAAGUAAGCCAUUUCAGAAGAAAGUGAGGUGCAGGACUGAACUAAGUGGCUGAUCCAAGGAAUGUCCUAUGUUGAAAAGCUGGGCAAAUCAGAAGAAAGAACUCCCCUACUUAAAGGUCCCUCAGGAUGUUUGCCUGUGAAGAAAAUCAGCUCAGAGACCCUGGAAGCUCUCCUGUGACAGUAUGUCCUAAAGCCCAACCCAUCCACCUGUUUACAUGUCUGUGCUUCUGAGAACCUAGAUGCAGCUACAUAGGCACUGCUACCAGAGAAGAGGUGAGGUAGCCGGGUGGUGAGGAAGAGAUCUCUCCUUUCACACCUGCUUACGAUGAUGACAUUUGGACCUCUAUGGGCAUCUCCAUUCCAUUCCUCAGCAGGCUAUGCCACAGAGCUCUGUUCAACACCAGGAGACUCAAUGCAGGAAGAGUACCAGAGCGUCCGCUGAGAGUCAGGUAAGCAUGAAAACCUUCACAGCUUACUGCACAAUGAAAUGUCAUCCACAGGACUUCUGAUCUUGGUACGAGAAUCUUGUCCAGGACUCACAGGGGCUCAUGGUGCCCACAUUCAACCCUAACAUGGUGUUCACUUAUGAAGCAUGGAGGUUGUGGAUCAACUCUUGGUACACAAUAAACUGGAAGUUUAAAAAAAGGAAUUUAAAACAACCUAAAAGUGGUUCAUGUUGGUCUCCGUUGCCCAGACUGCCAGGGGAGUACACCUAAUUGAUCUGGUGGGCUGUGGGGGGUUGGGGAAGAAGCCUCCAUGGAUCACCGUCAAUUCCAGUAGUCAGUGUGUGGCCAACAUAUGUGGGAAAUCGCCAGACAACAGUCUUCUGAACCCACACAGCCAUUCUCACUGGUUAUUGGGGAGCCCUGAUCCAACAGAACCCCAGAUUGAGGGAAAGGCUGAUAUAAGGCUUGGGCCCCUCAUGUUCUGUUGCAUUCAAUGUAUCCCCACACCCUCCAGUCAGCAGGAGGCAGACUUGGCAACGGAAGCUAGCAUCAUAAAAUGGUGCAGUAAUAGAAGUAACUGGACCAGGAAGAGGAGGCAUCUGCUCCAAUGAUGUCAUAGCCAUUGGUGGCCACAGGGGGGUGGGACUGGUCAUGUAGCCUUGUGUCAGGAGUAAUGAUUGUAGAGGGGCGGGGCAUGAAGAGUGCCAUUCUGGAAACAGUGCUGUCGAGAAGCAAUAUACUCUGCAUAACUGAUUGUCACCUUCUCACUUCGAUACCUGUACGAGGAAACAGACAAAGGUAUUAGGAACCCCAAAUACCUCAAUGUGAAGGAAGAGUCACUCAGUAGAGAAAACCAAAAGCUUAUCCCACAGUCUCAAAGAAUAAAAUGGAAGACCAAGAGCAAUCUUACUUACAGAAAAUGAAAGACGGCACAAGAAAUGAUGCUGUUCUUACAAAUGAACAAGAUGAGAAAGCACAUCACAGUUCACCCCUGAGAAUGUAUCUCAGCACACCCCACCUCAAAAUGCUACAUAUGCUUAUCAACAGGCUGCUGGUAAGCAAUCUGCUACCAGGAUCUGCAUGAGGGAUUUCAGAGUCAAAUUACAAGGGUGGCAGAUUGGAAGAUGGCUGCACCAAACCCCAGUGUAAACUGCAUUAGCUAUGCUCAGGUUUAAAAUGAGAUAAAUUUGACAGAAAUGCAACCUCAACUUGUAGAAGAGCAACAAACAGGUUAUAACUAAAAGGGGCAUAGAUACCUAAUUCUGGGUCAAAUUCUGGUGAAGCAGGUUAAUGGAUCCUUGGCUAUAGGAAGGUCUCACUCCCCAGAUGAAUAUGCCAUAUCACGGGGUCAUCAGAACAGAAUUCAUAGCACUUUGGCUUUGCUCUGGAAAGAGCCAUGAGUCAGGAUGCAAAGCAUGGGUGUUACAAACCUAUGGAGCCUACUACAGACCACAGGAGCUGGGUGACAAUCCUUACCCAGAGCCAUCUCUUUCCCACUGUAAUCACUCCUCCACUGCAAGGUGAUUAUUCCUGAAUUUUGACAGGGAAAUGGCUGUUCAAAUAAAUUGUAAUAGUAAUAAUGCUUUGUAUUUGCAGUGUUUUUAUUAUUAUUACUAUUAUUAUAUUUUGGUGCUGGAGGUGGAACCCAGGGCCUUGAGCGUAUAUACUAUGUAUUAAGUUCUACCAAUGAGUGGAAGUCCCAGCCCCUUGACUUUUUGGAAUUUAAUGCAUUCAAAAACACUGGGUUAUCUUCCAAACAGACCUGUGAGGCUGGCAUACGGUGACUCAGCAUUUUGUAGACGAGGGUCAUAGCAAAGGCCCACCAAAGCUAACUUCUCUCUCUGUCCCCAACAUCAGCACAAAAGAACACUGACAUCCACUGAACACCUCCAGUGUUGCCCUUGGCUGAAAACACUAUACCUUACCUUAAAAACUGAAGGAAUUACAACUCACAUCUUACAGACAGAAAACAGUUCAGGGUGGUGAACUAACUGUCCCCAGGACAAAUAGCUAAUAAGAACUAAGCCUGGGCUACAGACCCCCAAGUUAGUAUAUGUUCCGUACGACUAGUCAGCUUGCCCUGAGUACUACCCCCAAACCGGAUCCUUCCCACUCCUCGUUAAUAUGGCUCUCCUUUAUUCUCUGCCAUGGACUGCAUGGUGACCAGGAAGAAGCACCUUUCCGUGACCCUGGAUUUACAUUCCCGGAGCCCUCACCUUUUAAAUGCAACCUCCCCCUAAAUCUCCUCGGCAGAUCUACUCUGCUUCAAUCCUGUUAGACUGGCUAUGGAAACAGGGUGUCUCCACGUCUGCGGCCCCUGCUUCCUCAGACUCAGACCUCACACAAACUCCUCUGGCUUAGGGGUAGAAACACUUUUCUUUUCCUUCCCACCACAGGACCCUGUACUCAACCCCCAUUUAAGAAAACCUAACAAGGAGACUAGGGCAGCUGCUUACCUUGUGAGUUUGAUUGAUUUUCUGAAUUCACUGGUAAUUGGAGCCUUAAAACCACCUUUCCUGAGCAAGGAGUCUAUUGUCUGGAUCUGAUCCCAGUCUGAGGAAAACAAGCCACAAUAUGGUCAGCACACAGUCAAAACAUGAGAAGAACAUGCUCCAAUAUGACCAGUGUAGGAAGACAAAUGGGAUUCAAGAAACAGAGUGUGCUGGGGAAAAGGAAGCACUGGGCCCUGGUCCCACACACUGGACACCAAUCAGCCUUACUAACAGUCCAGCAAAGACCCUGACACAUGACAUCAUAACUCAAUGUGCCAUGAUGCUAUCCCCAAGUCCCCCACUCUUUCUUACCAGGCACUACCCAAGUAAAAUUCUGAAGCUCAUGUUGCACCCAUGGCUGCUCUAUAGAAAGGCAGAGUAGAAAGGCAGGCAGGGUCUCACUAUUGCCUAGAUGUUAUCAGAUUUUAUUUUACUUUUUAUUUCUGGGUAUGUGUGUUGCAGGUGGUAUGUACACACGAGAACAAAAGAUGAUGUAGGAUCCUCUGAACCUGGAACUACAGGUGGAAUCUGGCAGGAACUAAGAAGAGGAAGGGCAUCAGUACUUGGUGGCACUGAGCUGAGGACUUCUCUCUCCUGCCCUUUAACUGGCAUGGCUCUGAGCAGCACAGCUCAGUGGCCAUCUGUCCGACUCACCUUGUUCCUUAGCAACCUCAGGUAAAUAUGUGGCUGUGCGUUUGAUGCCUUUUUCAUUGAUGAAUUCAAUCCGAAUCCCAUGGACCCCUACCUACAGAAAAAUAUGACCAAGUACAUGGCGUUUUCUGAUUCUAACAACAUUUCCAUCACUCAUACAUAAUCAACAUUGUCUCCUGAACUGCCUAGCACAGGUCUGGGAAAGGAAGAAUGUUGUCUGCAUGACUGACUCUAAAGCACAGAAACCAAAGGGACGGUCAAAUACAUACAUGUGCAGUUGCACCUCUGAGACUAUGAAGACUGAAGGAAUAAAUCCCUGAA